CUUUGGUCAUUAUGCUCACAUCUAAAUGAAGGAAAAGGAGAGGUCAAACUAGACCUCUAGCCAUCUCCGGGGUGCCUGCAUGUGCUGUAAUAAGUGGAUGCAUGCUGUCAGACGUGCUCACCACGGGAUUUCCAGGACUCUUCCAUCCCUCAGUGCAAUACUCUUACUAUGUGUGGUUUGCAAAAACACCGUUGUCCUGCCGUGCCUGUUGCCAGGAAAGGGUGUUUUAUCAUUCUAGUAUGUCUAUUAUGAAGCAUUUCAGCUUUCCAAAACAAAAAUAGCCUAGCCUGACUUCUGAGCUAACCUAACUCCUCCCCUUCCAAACCAUAUUCGCAUGUUGGAAAGUUGCUUGAUAGCAGAAACAAAAACAAACAAAUAAACGAGAAAGAAUUUACGAGCA